rnacentral:rRNA from 1 species
AGAGUUUGAUUAUGGCUCAGGAUGAACGCUGGCGGCGUGCCUAACACAUGCAAGUCGAGCGAUUCUCUUCGGAGAAGAGCGGCGGACGGGUGAGUAACGCGUGGGUAACCUGCCUCAUACACAUGGAUAACAUACCGAAAGGUAUGCUAAUACAGGAUGAUAUAAGAGAUUCACAUGGAUUUUUUAUCAAAGCUCCGGCGGUAUGAGAUGGACCCGCGUCUGAUUAGCUAGUUGGUAAGGUAAUGGCUUACCAAGGCGACGAUCAGUAGCCGACCUGAGAGGGUGAUCGGCCACAUUGGAACUGAGACACGGUCCAAACUCCUACGGGAGGCAGCAGUGGGGAAUAUUGCACAAUGGGCGAAAGCCCUGAUGCAGCAACGCCGCGUGAAGGAAGAAGGGUUUCGGCUCGUAAACUUCUAUCAAUGGGGAAGAAAUAAAUGACGGUACCCAAAUAAGAAGCCCCGGCUAACUACGUGCCAGCCGCCGC